rnacentral:rRNA from 1 species
UACGUAGGGAGCAAGCGUUGUUCGGAUUUACUGGGCGUAAAGGGCGCGUAGGCGGCCUUCUAAGUCGAACGUGAAAUCCCCGGGCUCAACCCGGGAACUGCGUCCGAUACUGGAAGGCUUGAAUCCGGGAGUGGGAUGUGGAAUUCCAGGUGUAGCGGUGAAAUGCGUAGAUAUCUGGAGGAAUACCGGUGGCGAAGGCGGCGUUCUGGACUACAUCUGACACUGAUGAACGAAAGCCAGGGGAGCAAACGGG